UGUCAUACAUCAGUCAACGCCUCCACCUUGGUGUUCCUGGUCAUAUCUGAGGAUGCAAACCCUUCCCAGGUUGUACUGGGCCAGAGAGAGAGACUCUCAGAUCUUCUGCCUGGACCAGCAGAGCAGGAUGUCUGCUGUCUUCCAGAGGAAGGGAUGAAGAUGGGGCUGGAAGCACGGUAGUUCCUUAUCUCAUAUUCUGAAAUCAGAUGCUGAGAGCCGCCCGCAGUUCCUGCCACGUGGCUAACAUCAUGUCAACUUCUUCAUGGUCAGCAGGAGCAUAUUUUCCUACAAUCUG